rnacentral:sRNA from 1 species
UUUCUCACUUUGAAGUGCAUAAAGACGUUGACACACUUGGAGCCAACAAGAACAUUAGUCAUGACAAGCAUGCCAUCUGAAAAGCAGAAUGUCGUCAUCCAGGUUGUGGAUAAAUUGAAAGGCUUUUCAAUUGCACCAGACGUCUGUGAGACCACGACUCACGUGCUUUCCGGGAAGCCACUUCGCACCCUGAAUGUGCUGCUGGGAAUCGCGCGUGGCUGCUGGGUUCUCUCUUAUGAUUGGGUGCUAUGGUCUUUAGAAUUGGGUCACUGGAUUUCUGAGGAGCCGUUCGAACUGUCUCACCACUUCCCUGCAGCUCCCCUGUGCCGAAGUGAGUGCCACUUGUCUGCAGGGCCGUACCGCGGAACCCUCUUUGCCGACCAGCCAGUGAUGUUUGUCUCGCCUGCCAGCAGCCCCCCAGUGGCCAAGCUCUGUGAACUAGUCCACCUGUGCGGAGGCCGGGUCAGCCAAGUCCCCCGCCAGGCCAGCAUCGUCAUCGGGCCCUACAGCGGAAAGAAGAAAGCAACAGUCAAGUAUCU